rnacentral:rRNA from 1 species
AGCAGCCGCGGUAAUUCCAGCUCCAAUAGCGUAUAUUAAAGUUGUUGCAGUUAAAAAGCUCGUAGUUGAAUUUCGGGACCAAUCUGCCGGUCGUGCCUCCGGUACGCACUGGUUUUAUUGGUUUUCUCCCUUCUGACGAACCAUGAUGUCAUUAAUUUGGUGUCAUGGGGAAUCAGGACUGUUACUUUGAAAAAAUUAGAGUGUUUAUAGCAGGCUCACGCUUGAAUACAUUAGCAUGGAAUAAUGAAAUAGGACGUUUGACCCUAUUUUGUUGGUUUCUAGGAUCGACGUAAUGAUUAAUAGGGAUAGUUGGGGGCAUUAGUAUUCAAUUGUCAGAGGUGAAAUUCUUGGAUUUAUUGAAGACUAACUACUGCGAAAGCAUUUGCCAAGGAUGUUUUCAUUAAUCAAGAACGAAAGUUAGGGGAUCGAAGACGAUCAGAUACCGUCGUAGUCUUAACCAUAAACUAUGCCGACUAGGGAUCGGAUGAUGUUAAUUUUUUUAAUGACUCAUUCGGCGCCU